rnacentral:rRNA from 1 species
UUUUGCCUACGGGACGCAGCAGUGGGGAAUAUUGGGCAAUGGGCGCAAGCCUGACCCAGCAACGCCGCGUGAAGGAAGAAGGCUUUCGGGUUGUACACUUCUUUUAUUCGGGACGAAGAAAGUGACGGUACCGAAUGAAUAAGCCACGGCUAACUACGUGCCAGCAGCCGCGGUAAUACGUAGGUGGCAAGCGUUAUCCGGAUUUAUUGGGUGUAAAUGGCGUGAAGGCGGGAAUGCAAGGCAGAUGUGAAAAC